rnacentral:rRNA from 1 species
GACGAACGCUGGCGGCGUGCUUAACACAUGCAAGUCGAACGGAAAGGCCCUGCUUUUGUGGGGUGCUCGAGUGGCGAACGGGUGAGUAACACGUGAGUAACCUGCCCUUGACUUUGGGAUAACUUCGGGAAACUGGGGCUAAUACCGGAUAGGAGCUCCUGCUGCAUGGUGGGGGUUGGAAAGUUUCGGCGGUUGGGGAUGGACUCGCGGCUUAUCAGCUUGUUGGUGGGGUAGUGGCUUACCAAGGCUUUGACGGGUAGCCGGCCUGAGAGGGUGGCCGGCCACAUUGGGACUGAGAUACGGCCCAGACUCCUACGGGAGGCAGCAGUGGGGAAUAUUGCACAAUGGGCGGAAGCCUGAUGCAGCAACGCCGCGUGCGGGAUGACGGCCUUCGGGUUGUAAACCGCUUUCGCCUGUGACGAAGCGUGAGUGACGGUAAUGGGUAAAGAAGCACCGGCUAACUACGUGCCAGCAGCCGCGGUGAUACGUAGGGUGCGAGCGUUGUCCGGAUUUAUUGGGCGUAAAGGGCUCGUAGGUGGUUGAUUGCGUCGGAAGUGUAAUCUUGGGGCUUAACCCUGAGCGUGCUUUCGAUACGGGUUGACUUGAGGAAGGUAGGGGAGAAUGGAAUUCCUGGUGGAGCGGUGGAAUGCGCAGAUAUCAGGAGGAACACCAGUGGCGAAGGCGGUUCUCUGGGCCUUUCCUGACGCUGAGGAGCGAAAGCGUGGGGAGCGAACAGGCUUAGAUACCCUGGUAGUCCACGCUGUAAACGGUGGGUACUAGGUGUGGGGUCCAUUCCACGGGUUCCGUGCCGUAGCUAACGCUUUAAGUACCCCGCCUGGGGAGUACGGCCGCAAGGCUAAAACUCAAAGGAAUUGACGGGGCCCCGCACAAGCGGCGGAGCAUGCGGAUUAAUUCGAUGCAACGCGUAGAACCUUACCUGGGUUUGACAUGGAUCGGGAGUGCUCAGAGAUGGGUGUGCCUCUUUUGGGGUCGGUUCACAGGUGGUGCAUGGCUGUCGUCAGCUCGUGUCGUGAGAUGUUGGGUUAAGUCCCGCAACGAGCGCAACCCUUGUUCACUGUUGCCAGCACGUUAUGGUGGGGACUCAGUGGAGACCGCCGGGGUCAACUCGGAGGAAGGUGGGGAUGACGUCAAGUCAUCAUGCCCCUUAUGUCCAGGGCUUCACGCAUGCUACAAUGGCUGGUACAGAGAGUGGCGAGCCUGUGAGGGUGAGCGAAUCUCGGAAAGCCGGUCUCAGUUCAGAUUGGGGUCUGCAACUCGACCUCAUGAAGUCGGAGUCGCUAGUAAUCGCAGAUCAGCAACGCUGCGGUGAAUACGUUCCCGGGGCU